UGGGGAAUAUUGCACAAUGGGGGAAACCCUGAUGCAGCGACGCCGCGUGAACGAAGAAGGUAUUCGUAUCGUAAAGUUCUGUCCUAUGGGAAGAUAAUGACAGUACCAUAGAAGAAAGCUCCGGCUAAAUACGUGCCAGCAGCCGCGGUAAUACGUAUGGAGCGAGCGUUGUCCGGAAUUAUUGGGCGUAAAGGGUACGCAGGCGGUUUAAUAAGUCAAAUGUUAAAGAUCGGGGCUCAACCCCGCAAAGCAUUGGAAACUGAUAAACUUGAGUAGUGGAGAGGAAAGUGGAAUUCCUAGUGUAGUGGUGAAAUACGUAGAUAUUAGGAGGAAUACCAGUAGCGAAGGCGACUUUCUGGACACAAACUGACGCUGAGGUACGAAAGCGUGGGGAGCAAACAGG
rnacentral:rRNA from 1 species